rnacentral:misc_RNA from 1 species
GAUGAAGAACGCAGCGAAAUGCGAUAAGUAAUGUGAAUUGCAGAAUUCAGUGAAUCAUCGAAUCUUUGAACGCACAUUGCGCCCGCCAGUAUUCUGGCGGGCAUGCCUGUUCGAGCGUCAUUUCAACCAUCAAGCCCCAGGCUUGUGUUGGGGACCUGCGGCUGCCGCAGGCCCUGAAAACCAGUGGCGGGCUCGCUGUCACACCGGGCGUAGUAGAUUUUAUCUCGCUCAGGGCGUGCUGCGGGUUCCGGCCGUUAAAAAGCCUUUUUUACCCAAGGUUGACCUCGGAUCAGGUAGGAAGACCCGCUGAACUUAAGUAUAUCAAUAAGCGGAGGA